CACAUUCCUCAGAGAUGGCUCAGCCUGGCCUCCUUCCUCCUCCUACUCGCUUCUCUCAAGGUAGAGAACUUGCUAGAGGCGGCCUGAGAGGGGCAGGCCUUUGCCAUCACAUCCUCUCCCAGACCCCUGCCAUUCGGAGACUGAGGCCGAGUCUCUCCUGGAAGCCGGGCUGCCCAGGAGGGGCGGUGCCGCAGGAGCGCCCCCGCUCGCGACUCCACAAGCCCAGCUGAGCACGGCCGGGAAUACGGGGCCUGCGGAAACAGUGAACUCAGUGGCUGCUGUUUUCUGAGCACCUGAACCCUGUGGGGGACGACAGAGUUGCCCGAGGCGGCAGGAUGUCCCCACACUCGCGGUCCCCCGCACAUCUUCCUGUUGCUUUGGGACUCGGGCUUUCUCUGGGUUGAAAGUGGCUGAGAAGGAAGAAUUUGGACAUCUUAAGAGGAGAGCGAGUGGGGAAGGAGGCAAAAGGGAAUGGAGAAGGAAGAUAAAACUGACGUCAGCCCAGGGCAGGGAGCGAGGAAAGGGGGCCACAAGGAAAGCCCAGUUCCAACGUCUCUGCUGAGCCUAAAGAGGCCUCAGCAGGGAAUCACAGAUGUGGGGGGCCAGGGAAACGGGAUCCGAGCCCGCCCAGUAGGUAUAGAAGGCCGAAGGCAGAGUCCUGAGACCCAGGGAGGGGUGGGGUGGAGGCUGGGGCCCUCCCAGCGAUUCCUGGAAGCCCAGAGCUGGGCGGUGCCGGCUCAGCUGACUUCCCCGAAGCUCCCCUCCCUCUGCUCAGGGCUGUUGCUGGGCAGGUUUGGCGUUUGCCCUGAGCCUGAGAACCAA
ensembl:lncRNA novel transcript